AGCUCCAAUAGCGUAUAUUAAAGUUGUUGCCGUUAAAAAGCUCAUAGUUGGAUUUCUGGCAGGAGCGACCGGUUGCACACUAUGUGUGUGAGCUUGUGUUGUCUCUGGCCAUCCUUGGGGAGAUCCUGUGUGGCAUUAAGUUGUCGGGCAGGGGAUACCCAUCCUUUACUGUGAAAAAAUUAGAGUGUUUAAAGCAGGCUCAUGCCGUUGAAUAUAUUAGCAUGGAAUAAUAAGAUAGGACUUCGGAACUAUUUUGUUGGUUUGCGUUAUAAAGUAAUGAUUAAUAGGGACAGUUGGGGGUAUUCGUAUUUCGUUGUCAGAGGUGAAAUUCUUGGAUUUCCGAAAGAUGAACUACUGCGAAAGCAUUUACCAAGGAUGUUUUCA
rnacentral:rRNA from 1 species